rnacentral:rRNA from 1 species
AUAUACGACCGUACCGCAAACCGACACUGGUGCGCGAGAUGAGUAUUCUAAGGCGCUUGAGAGAACUCAGGAGAAGGAACUCGGCAAAUUGACACCGUAACUUCGGAAGAAGGUGUGCCCUAUUAGUGUGUAGUGAACAACGAAGCAUGAAUGGGUUGCAAAAAAUCGGUGGCUGCGACUGUUUAUUAAAAACACAGCACUCUGCAAACACGAAAGUGGACGUAUAGGGUGUGACGCCUGCCCGGUGCUGGAAGAUUAAAUGAUGGGGUGCAAGCUCUUGAUUGAAGUCCCAGUAAACGGCGGCCGUAACUAUAACGGUCCUAAGGUAGCGAAAUUCCUUGUCGGGUAAGUUCCGACCUGCACGAAUGGCGUAACGAUGGCCACACUGUCUCCUCCUGAGACUCAGCGAAGUUGAAAUGUUUGUGAUGAUGCAAUCUCCCCGCGGAAAGACGGAAAGACCCCAUGAACCUUUACUGUAGCUUUGUAUUGGACUUUGAACAGAUCUGUGUAGGAUAGGUGGGAGGCUUUGAAGCAGGGUCGCUAGAUCUUGUGGAGCCAACGUUGAAAUACCACCCUGGUGUGUUUGAGGUUCUAACCUAGGUCCAUUAUCUGGAUCGGGGACAGUGCAUGGUAGGCAGUUUGACUGGGGCGGUCUCCUCCCAAAGCGUAACGGAGGAGUUCGAAGGUACGCUAGUUACGGUCGGACAUCGUGACGAUAGUGCAAUGGCAUAAGCGUGCUUAACUGCGAGACUGACAAGUCGAGCAGAUGCGAAAGCAGGACAUAGUGAUCCGGUGGUUCUGUAUGGAAGGGCCAUCGCUCAACGGAUAAAAGGUACUCUGGGGAUAACAGGCUGAUACCGCCCAAGAGUUCAUAUCGACGGCGGUGUUUGGCACCUCGAUGUCGGCUCAUCUCAUCCUGGGGCUGUAGCCGGUCCCAAGGGUAUGGCUGUUCGCCAUUUAAAGAGGUACGUGAGCUGGGUUUAAAACGUCGUGAGACAGUUUGGUCCCUAUCUUCCGUGGGCGCUGCAGAUUUGAGGAAGCCUGCUCCUAGUACGAGAGGACCGGAGUGGACACACCUCUGGUGUAUCGGUUGUCACGCCAGUGGCAUUGCCGAGUAGCUAAGUGUGGAAGAGAUAACCGCUGAAAGCAUCUAAGCGGGAAACUCGUUUCAAGAUGAGAUCUGCCGGGGCCUUGAGCCCCCUAAAGAGUCGUUCAAGACCAGGACGUUGAUAGGUCAGGUGUGGAA